rnacentral:rRNA from 1 species
AUUGAACGCUGGCGGCAGGCCUAACACAUGCAAGUCGAGCGGAUGAAGGGAGCUUGCUCCUGGAUUCAGCGGCGGACGGGUGAGUAAUGCCUAGGAAUCUGCCUGGUAGUGGGGGAUAACGUCCGGAAACGGGCGCUAAUACCGCAUACGUCCUGAGGGAGAAAGUGGGGGAUCUUCGGACCUCACGCUAUCAGAUGAGCCUAGGUCGGAUUAGCUAGUUGGUGGGGUAAAGGCCUUCCAAGGCGACGAUCCGUAACUGGUCUGAGGGGAUGAUCAGUCACACUGGAACUGAGACACGGUCCAGACUCCUACGGGAGGCAGCAGUGGGGAAUAUUGGACAAAGGGCGAAAGCCUGAUCCAGCCAUGCCGCGUGUGUGAAGAAGGUCUUCGGAUUGUAAAGCACUUUAAGUUGGGAGGAAGGGCAGUAAGUUAAUACCUUGCUGUUUUGACGUUACCAACAGAAUAAGCACCGGCUAACUUCGUG